CUGUCCAACGUUAAUCGGGGCAGGGUGAGUCGACCCCUAAGGCGAGGCCGAAAGGCGUAGUCGAUGGGAAACGGGUUAAUAUUCCCGUACUUGGUGUUACUGCGAAGGGGGGACGGAGAAGGCUAUGUUGGCCGGGCGACGGUUGUCCCGGUUUAAGCGUGUAGGUGUGUGUUCCAGGUAAAUCCGGUUCACUUUAACACUGAGGCGUGACGACGAGGCACUACGGUGCUGAAGCAACAAAUGCCCUGCUUCCAGGAAAAGCCUCUAAGCAUCAGGUAACACGAAAUCGUACCCCAAACCGACACAGGUGGUCAGGUAGAGAAUACCAAGGCGCUUGAGAGAACUCGGGUGAAGGAACUAGGCAAAAUGGUGCCGUAACUUCGGGAGAAGGCACGCUGACACGUAGGUGAAGUGAUUUACUCAUGGAGCUGAAGUCAGUCGAAGAUACCAGCUGGCUGCAACUGUUUAUUAAAAACACAGCACUGUGCAAACACGAAAGUGGACGUAUACGGUGUGACGCCUGCCCGGUGCCGGAAGGUUAAUUGAUGGGGUCAGCGUAAGCGAAGCUCCUGAUCGAAGCCCCGGUAAACGGCGGCCGUAACUAUAACGGUCCUAAGGUAGCGAAAUUCCUUGUCGGGUAAGUUCCGACCUGCACGAAUGGCGUAAUGAUGGCCAGGCUGUCUCCACCCGAGACUCAGUGAAAUUGAACUCGCUGUGAAGAUGCAGUGUACCCGCGGCAAGACGGAAAGACCCCGUGAACCUUUACUAUAGCUUGACACUGAACAUUGAGCCUUGAUGUGUAGGAUAGGUGGGAGGCUUUGAAGUGUGGACGCCAGUCUGCAUGGAGCCGACCUUGAAAUACCACCCUUUAAUGUUUGAUGUUCUAACGUGGACCCGUAAUCCGGGUUGCGGACAGUGUCUGGUGGGUAGUUUGACUGGGGCGGUCUCCUCCUAAAGAGUAACGGAGGAGCACGAAGGUUGGCUAAUCCUGGUCGGACAUCAGGAGGUUAGUGCAAUGGCAUAAGCCAGCUUGACUGCGAGCGUGACGGCGCGAGCAGGUGCGAAAGCAGGUCAUAGUGAUCCGGUGGUUCUGAAUGGAAGGGCCAUCGCUCAACGGAUAAAAGGUACUCCGGGGAUAACAGGCUGAUACCGCCCAAGAGUUCAUAUCGACGGCGGUGUUUGGCACCUCGAUGUCGGCUCAUCACAUCCUGGGGCUGAAGUAGGUCCCAAGGGUAUGGCUGUUCGCCAUUUAAAGUGGUACGCGAGCUGGGUUUAGAACGUCGUGAGACAGUUCGGUCCCUAUCUGCCGUGGGCGCUGGAGAACUGAGGGGGGCUGCUCCUAGUACGAGAGGACCGGAGUGGACGCAUCACUGGUGUUCGGGUUGUCAUGCCAAUGGCACUGCCCGGUAGCUAAAUGCGGAAGAGAUAAGUGCUGAAAGCAUCUAAGCACGAAACUUGCCCCGAGAUGAGUUCUCCCUGAGACUUAGAGUCUCCUGAAGGAACGUUGAAGACGACGACGUUGAUAGGCCGGGUGUGUAAGCGCAGCGAUGCGUUGAGCUAACCGGUACUAAUGAACCGUGAGGCUUAACCUU
rnacentral:rRNA from 1 species